AGCGAGAUUGGAGUCCUGCACCAUGGCAAAAUGUUUCUUGGGCAUCUCUUUGCAGAGGCAGCUCUGGUGCUGAGAGCCAGGAGAGCGUGCUCAGCUUGGGAGCAGCCCCAGCCCUAGUGAGAAUCCCACAGGAGGGGCAGAUGGAGCCCAUGGAGCGAUCAGGCUAUGCUGCAGGGCUGUUUUGGCAGGAGGUAUGAGCGUCUGUUACCAGCCCUGGGGGAAACAGAGGGAGAUUUCACUGGAUGGAGCUGAGGAGAAGGAAAAGGCUUGCUUGCAGCAUGCACCUGGGAGCCUUUGUGCCUCCAUCCUUCUGCUGUUCAUCCCCACAUGCCUCUGCUUGCUGGCACCAGCUUUUAAGGAAAAUCACCUUAAUUUUGUCCCGAUGUAAAGCUGUCGAAUCAGCAGAACUGAGCAAGUUAUUUAUUCAGGGAGCAGCUGUGCAAUGGCCAAGUGCAAGCUGCCUCCAUGCACCUACAGCAGGCACCUUCCAGCAUGGAACAGUGCCUGGCUGUGCUGCUGGUACCUGCUGAGAAAGAGCUAAGCUGUCUUUGAACACCUGCAACCCCUGCCCCACUCACAUGGGAGAUGGAAUAAACAGCAAACAGCAAGUGCCCUUUUGGGCCCAAUAUUCAUUUGGACCACCACACGUGGGCUCCAAAGGUUUUCCAUUCUUCUAACAGUCCCUAAGAGCCAUCAUUAACCAGCACAAAGGGGAGUCACAGAGGUUACAUCAGCUCCUCCUUAGCAGCAUCACUCCAUGGGCUCAAUUCAGGGCAGAGAAGUUUGACACAUAUUACCUGUGUCCCAAAAUCAGGGUGUGUUCUGGAGAGAGAGGCAGGCUUCCUGGCACACCUGGGCUGCAGGAAAAGCCACAGCCCAGCAGGGACUCUGGGGGGAAAGCAGUGACACCAUCUCAUUUCCACAGCUGGCUUGUUCAUAGGCAGACAGCUGUGCUCCUGCAGGGGAAAUGAUCCCCAUUAGCUUUCCAGGUGCUCUCUUGUAAACGGACUACAGGUGGUACAGCAGUGUCUGACUGCAGUCCAGGGCUUUGUCUCUCUGAAAAAAAGCCCUCUGUGUUAUCCUCCCACCCCCAUCUGCUCCCCCUUGUAAAGGAAGAGGGAGACCAUCCAGGAGACAAGAAAACACACAUACAGCAAGGGUGAUUGCUAUUUUAAGAAUGUACUUUAUACAAAAUAACCAAUUCAUAUGGAAAUAAAAUCUACAGACCUCCAAGGAUCAAGAUUUUAAAAAAGUUCUUUAAAAAAAUUACCCAACACACAGUAUUAAACUAACUAUUGAGGUAACUGUCGCUCUUGGGGAACAAAGGUAAUCAGCAGACCAAGACAAAAUAUACACAAUAUAAAAAUAAAUAGCAUUCCCCUUUCCAGUAUUGACCAGGAAAGUUCACACAACUUUGCAGCAGCAGGAGAGAGAAGAGGAUCCCUGACACUGUGCUCUACAGGAUGGGGAGGGAGGCAGAGGCUCCUGGGCUGCAGGUGAUGGAGAGGUGCAACCCCUGCUGGGGACAGAUGUGCUGGGAUGAGCAGGUCCAGCAUGAACUCCUUGAGCAGAUAAACUGAGCCCAUCAGUCCAACUUUUCCCAAACAGCAUCAGCAGCUGUUCAGCCCAGUUGCCAAUUGAGCUGAGGACAAGCAAGCCCAGCCCUCGACUGUUACAUCCCAGCACACCCAGCAAAACAUGCCAGUGCAGAGCCCCACUGCAGAGGUCAGAUUUCCCCCACUGAGGGACACAGGCAGAGGCAUUUUCACAGCUUGGUGUGGGAAGUCUCUGCAGCAGCCUCAGCUCACCCUCCUGUCACCCUGGGACAGCUGCAAGCCAUUGAUAAGGGCCAGGCUUUUGGCCCCAUGGCCACUAGACCCCUCCCUGCCCAACAACAAAAAGCACAGCAACAUAAGAACAGCCUCACCCAAAAAGAGAAAGGCCCCCGUUUUCUCCUUGUGCCCCCGACAGACAGAUUACAUUCUUUACAAACUUACAAUAAUACAAAAACAACCGCAACGUUACCCAGCUUCAGAAAAAUGAAUGGAUGUAGUGGCACAGGCUCCCCCACUCCCUUCCCAGCAAUGCCAAGUGAAGCAGCAGUGAGUCCCUCUCCUCCCUCAGAGGCAUUCAAUCAGUGGCCCACCCACCCCUCUUCCAUGUGCUGGAUGGAUGGAUGGAUGGAUGGAUGGAUGGAUGGAUGGAUGGAUGGAUGGAUGGAUGAGGCUCAACUUUACCCAGCUGCUCCCUUCCCAAACACAGAAGCAGCAACCAGCUCUCUCAUAGUUACCUUAAUCAACCCACUAGUCUCUGGGAAAGCAGGAACGUGGCAUGAUACAAUGCAGGGUCACAGAGCACACCUUGCUUCCCACUGAGACUGUGAAGAGCCCCCCAGUGUGUUCCAUAGCCACCUUAGCCCUAAAACAGUAAAGGAAGGUGUAAGUUGCAUUGCUGCAUGUAAUUAUUGCUCAGAAAAGGAUCAGGCAGCAGCGUUCAUUGAUCCAUCAAGGAGGAGACAGGAGUUUUCACAGCUGUACACAGUAUAUGCACAGGCAUUUUUAACCUAAACCCUCUUGGAGGUAGACAUGCCAGGAUCAUGUGUGGGAUCAUGGCAAAGGACAGAGGGACUUGCUAGAGUUGGUGAAAAUCCCAAUUAAGCCUCAGUCCUAAUUAAUCCUUUGUCUCCUCUUUCCCUGGUGGAUGUAGCUCUCUCCUGGAUCCGCUGUUCACUUUGAUAUCCACGUAGCAAAAAGAGGAAGACCAUUGCCAAAAGAAAUCUAGGCCAUGGCUGCAAAUGAAGGAAAAAAGCCCUCAGUCAAUGCAAGACCAGCAGUGUUAGAUCUACAAAACACUCCACGGUCUCUCAAAUUCUGCAUGUCAGCCAAGGGGUGGACUGAGCCUUGCCCUGGUUGUCCCCAGGAGCUCUGCAGCAAGGGGAACCAGGACCAACUACACCAUCACAGAUUCCACCGCUGGUCUUCUCCAAGCCACCCUUUGGGAUGACACUUCCCUGUCACUCAUUUCAGCACCUUCUCUGAAAUUCCAGAGAGCAUACAGCAACGCAGUCUUUUCAGAAAAGGAAAGCAGAACAAAGCCAUCAAGAACAAAGAAACCACCCUGUUUGAACAGAGAGAUGGACAAAAGCCUGACAGGGAUCAGUGAAGAAAAUAAAGAAAGGCUGUUUUCUAAUUAUACUUUCAUUUUAAAUGGAGAAGUGUUGGGGUGAGAACCUGCAGGGGAGCUGCCUCAGUCAGCAGAAUAAAAGACAGCCUCUGUGACUUGCUUUCAGAUAAGACAUCAUAAAGCUGAUAGCUCUCCAAGACCCUGAGAAACCACACUUACAAAAAUAUACACAGGCGAUUUGCUCCAGAAAGUCUGCAUGGGAAAGGCAUUUGGCAGACAAGAAAGAAUCAGAAGCUUCCAAGAAAAGUGUCUCCAUGUACCUCAAAGUCACAAAUCAAACCAGUUGGGCCUUGAAGCUUCAAAUUUACUUUCCUCUUUUGUCCUCCUCAUUGCAGGCUGGUGCCUUGGAUUGCUACAGAGUGGUUUGGUGGGUCACACCAUGGAAUUUAUAGACUGCAAACUUCUCCUAAGUUUGCUAAAAGUCACAGUGAAGCCUCAGUGAUUCCCUUUCCAGUUGAAUUGCCAGGGCUUGUAUCACCUAAGAUGCCAAAAGAUUCAGAGUCUCAGGGGGGUUUUAUACAACAGCAUUUGCAAAGGCAACUUGACAUCUAGGAAGCUUGGGAACACCACACACCACUUAGAAAGGAGGAAGUGGCAGGGAGAGCAAGAGGCUAAAAAGGUAGAGUAGCAUACAAAGCUCUUCUGAGAGCAUAGGAAAUUUUUGUUGUGCUUGAGCAGGGUCAAUUUCAUAAUUGUUCUAUGUGUUAUAUAAUCUCACUUAAUACAAAAUCUGUAAUUAUAGCAAAACACAUCCUCCAGAUGGGAAAAGUAAUAGCUACAGGAAAUUUUGCAAACUCACUAGUCCAGGAUGCUUUCUGAAAAAGGACCACCUGGUAAUAUACUGUACUACAACAAUGCUGGGGAAUGCACUGGAGCUUCUCUGUAAUGUGUUAAAAGUUUAAGAUAGUGGCACAAGUAUGGCACUUAAAAGCCAUGUUAUUUUAAAGUGCAGCCACACUUCUCCUGCACUGCAAGCCAACUCGUGGCACAAAACACCACUCUGUACAAUAACAGCUGUGAUGCUACUCUUCUAAAUCCCUCAAACCUAUCUUCCACAAUAUCUACAAAGCAGCAUGGUUUGGAAAUAAUAGAAUUCACAUUAUCUGUUCCUCUUUACAUUUGCACGGGUAUUCCAGCCCAGCAAUCCUCUCCCAGGGCUGUGUCAUCUGAGGGGAGUCAGUUUUCAGAGAUUUGCUCAGAUUGUACCUAGCGAAAUUAAGCUCUGAUUUUCAGGGGAUCCCUAGAUGUUGUAGAAGGGAAAGAAAAACCCCCAACCCUCACUUUGAAAGUCUGGAAACUCUAAGAUUCCACCAGCAUCUCUCCACCUCAGUGUGUCCUGUCCUCAGGAACACCCAGCCACAGUUCCCUGUAUUCUUUAUAAGUACUUUUCUAACAGAAACCAUCUGUCCUCACAACAGCAGCUUGUUAGCUACUUUAAUAAAAAUUACUGACUACAUCAAAAGCUAUUUACCUAGAAACCCUCCAGAGGAGUCAGUUUCACUGCUUGGUUUUGUCUUUCACACCUGCAAGUCAAACCCUUCUCCCAGAUUUACCUCAUGUCAGGUGAGGGUAUCUAUCACUGUCUAACACUUUACUACCCUCUCUAGACAGACCAAAGCAAUUCUUGCCAUCCUUAGUUGUCUCCUGUUUUGACUGAGGCUUGGUACUCACCCAGAGGUCAUGACCACUAGAACCAUGUUUUUUCAGUGCCAGUUCCAGCUGAAGUGUGUUUCAGCUUGGAGAGUUUUUAUAGCAUCUAAAAACUCCUGUUCCACAGCAUUCACAAUGGGCUGAAUGAGAGGCCCAUUCAAAUAUUCAGCUGGCUGUGAUACAGAAGACAGGCUGAAGUAAGGCAGGGCUUUUUUGCAGAAUCUACAUUCACAUUUCCAGAGUUGUCAAUACUUUGCUACAAGUUAUAUUUUCCAGUUCCUCUGUUUUUAAAUGUUAUUUCCAAUCAUUUUUAUAUCUAUAGUGAAGUAAAGACUAUUUUACAAGGA